UUCAUUAAACCCUUAAAUAAAUUAUUAAUCACAGAUAUCCAUCAAUAUUUUUUGCCCAAAAAUAAAAUCAAAAUACAAUAACCAAAAUCACUAACCUAAACUAAAAUUGAUAUAAAAGUAACCUCCAACAAAAAUUCAAUCCAUCAACAAUCACUCGAUAUAAUCAUGAUUUCUUUAGGAAGAAUUAAUGGCCAUAACCUAGAAGAAAGGCAAGGCAUGAGACAAGAGCGAGCAGGAAACUGCGAUGGGAGACCAUGGUUGUGCAACAAGCUGUCAACAGCAAGAGUAGAAUGACCAAAAACAAACAACCAAAAUCAAUUCAAUUUAGGCAAUAAGGGAGAGUAACGACUCAAAGAACAACAAAGAAGAAGAUUGAAAUUUGAAAGUAGUGGUUGAGUCACGACUCAGAGAAGAACAAACAAGAAGAUGAAAAUUCGAAGGUAGCAAGUGAGUCGCAACUCAAGUAAGGUCACGCGGAAGGCAAAGAAUUGAGGGAAGAUCAAAGAAGAAGAAGGUGAAGAAUGGCAGGAACACAGAGAAGAGGGGCUAGGGCAUGAGUCGUAGAGAGAGCUGGGGUGGGGGUGUGCGG
rnacentral:misc_RNA from 1 species